ACAUAAGCAUUGUUUGCAUUAACAAGUCAAUCAUAAAAUUAAUUGGUGAACAGCAUGUGAAUCAAUAUAGGAGAAGUUAAUUAUGUUGAAGGAGUGGUGUCUAUGUAUGUUUUUAUAUCAUUUUUGUUGUUUGUUUGUUUGCUUAGUUUUUUUGCAGUGACUCUAAGCCGCCAUUGGGAUUCCUUGUAACUGCUGACUACAGCUGCUGUUCUCCAAAAAGAUACAACAUUUUCAGAGCCACUUUUCAAGACUACAGGAAUCGGUUUUCCACCGCCGCGCAGUCCAGGGGCUUAGAAACGCCUGCUCUGUCUUGCCAGGACUAAGUGCAUGCAGAUUGUGUCUACUCUUCACUAGCCUCUGACUGACGCACACAUGCACACUGAUGCAUGUACGAAUGCACAUAUGCAAACCUCUUCAGCAUACACACAAGUAUGUGUCGACACACACGAAGACAAGCCGCUCUCCUCCAUUACAGACCGCCAUGACUACCCGAUGAUUACCCUGCGAGCCCCAUCAUCACCCGCGUCAGCAUCAGCCCCCUGGAAAACCUUCGCUCCUCCGCAGUGAAAGGCAAGAACGCUGUGAAUUGUACGGUGGUGGUGGUGGUGGUGAUGAUGAUGAUGAUGACCACACCUCUUAUGUCUCAUUUCUCUUCUUUCCCAAACAGCUCUUCACAAGCUUCCAGCUGGCCAGGCAAGGCUGCCCGCUAAGUUGACAUGUAACUUAAAGCUAAAUAUUGAAUAAUUAUGACGCAAAGCUGCCAAGCGCUGAAGUUCUUUCAUGUAGUAGAGAGAGCUCUGCUGAGCAUGUGUAACAUCAUAAUCUUCUCAAAUUCACGUUGAGAAACACAGACAGUUUUAAUUUGAUACUCUGACAAAGGUGAUGCACGCUGCGAACACUUAUUAAGUGACUAAUAUCCUGUGUAACAAAUGUUCACGCAAGUCAGCUCCUAUUUAUGUAAAGAGUGUCAUGUAAUGCUGAAGCAUGGUGUUAAGGCCAACUUAAGCAAACCCCCUCAUUAACUGCAGGGUUACCAGCAAGGGCUUAAAAAGACAUUGGGCUCGUCAAAAGACAGCAGACGUCAGGGCCAUCUUAGCUUACCCAAGGACCGAUAGCCAGAUUAUCUAACCACCUCCGCUUGGGCGCCACACCUCACGGCUUCCCUCCAGCCAUUUUCACAAGACGAGAUGAAUGCGGGAUGCCUCCAUUUCCCAGGGAAAGUUCCAUUUUGGAGACAGAGGUGGGAACUGAACACCGCUGAGCCGAUUAACCGGCCUCUCACUCUGAGUAAGAGAUAUGGUGUGAGUGCUUGUGAAGGGUGAUUAUGUAUGCAUGUGUGUGCGAAUACAAGGGUUUAGAUAUGGAGUUUUAAAGGCUGAUGGACUGAUUAUUAAAAUAUCUUUUGAACAUUUUAAAGAAUCUGAAACAUUUUCAUGCCAGAAAAUGACCAGUUUUCUGUGUUUGCGCCAGAAUUUUAUUUUUGUCAGCGUGGAAAAGCCGCUCAAAUAGUUUAAAAACACCAAAACUGUCCACUGACUAAAUUCUUUGAGGGUUAGCAGCUCUUUAAAAACAAGUUGACUCACCAAUGCUAUUCCAUAGUUAAGAAACUCUGGGAUACUCUGGGAAGAACAUACAAAAAAUUAAAUUGAACAAUUAAUUGAAUUAGGGCUGAUUAUUUCCAGUAGUACUAAAUCUAUCCAUUAGUUUUUCAAUUAAUAAUUUCAUCCGUAUUCAAAAGUAUUAAUUUUAUAUUAAUGACACAAAGAAAACCAUGCUAAUAGUAAUAUUUUGGAGCUGUAACCAGAAAAUAUUUAUUAUUUUUACUUACUAAUAAGUGAAUAAUUGACCAAAAUGAUAACUGUUUAUCAUAAUUCUAAGUGUUUGUCAAUCGACAAAAAAAGAAAUAAAUUGUUUUAUUGUGAAAAAAAAUACAAUUGAAUUGUCAACUUUGUAAAUUGUUUGUAUGUCAGAGAACCUCAUAAUUAGGUAGGGAACGCAACGAUAUCAAGGAAGUGGCCAAUGUCUAAAUAAUUAAUCAGUCUAACCCUUGUGCAUGCAUACUGUGAGAGUGUGUGUGUGUGUGUGUGUGUGUGUGUGUGUGUGUGUGUGUGUGUGUGUGUGUGUGUGUGUGUGUGUGCGUGCGUGUGUGUGUGUGUGUGUGAAGCAGGAGGGGAAUGGCUCUGAGAGUUUGGUUUACCCAGGGGCUCAGUUUUAGUUGUAGGACAACUUAUUCAACACAAGCAGAGCAAGGCCUGUAACGAGAGGCAGAGGCUUGAAGGAGAUUUGGUGGUGAGGGAGCCCCUGACUGAAUAUAAAAAGGGGGAUCAGCCUCCGAGAGUGGAGCGGAGGGAGCUGUCGAAACACAGCAGCGCUCUCCUCAGUCUCAAAAUUGGAACUUAAGUCCAGAAGCUGUGUGGACGCUGCAGCUUUUUCCGGUGCUUGUAAUGCGGUUAUAGCCUGUGGUGAACCGCAACUUUGGCGUGUUGUUUGUCUCAAGUUUGUGUCAUAUUCUUUUUUGUUUUUGUUGCUUUUUUUUUUUUUUUUUGCACAAAUAUGACUGUAAAUUUUGUGAAUUUAUAAAUAUCAAUUGCUGUUUUUUUUAUUUCAGCAAACAUUUUGACACGGAAUAGCUUUCUAAUAUGACCUCAAAACAGUUUCUAAAGCAGC